rnacentral:rRNA from 1 species
ACUCCUACGGGAGGCAGCAGUAGGGAAUCUUGCGCAAUGGGGGCAACCCUGACGCAGCGACGCCGCGUGAGUGAUGAAGGCCUUCGGGUCGUAAAGCUCUGUCCUCAGGGAAGAAGACAAUGACGGUACCUGAGGAGGAAGCCCCGGCUAACUACGUGCCAGCAGCCGCGGUAAUACGUAGGGGGCGAGCGUUGUCCGGAAUUAUUGGGCGUAAAGGGUGCGUAGGCGGCCUUGCAAGUCCGAUGUGAAAGACCACGGCUUACCCGUGGGGUUGCAUUGGAAACUGUAGGGCUUGAGUGCUGGAGAGGAUAGUGGAAUACCCAGUGUAGCGGUGAAAUGCGUAGAUAUUGGGUGGAACACCAGUGGCGAAGGCGACUAUCUGGACAGCAACUGACGCUGAGGCACGAAAGCUAGGGGAGCAAACAGGAUUAGAAACCCCAGUAGUCC